rnacentral:lncRNA from 10 species
CUGAAACAUCGGUCUCCCAGGUUCAAGCGAUUCUCCUGCCUCAGCCUCCUGAGUGGCUGGAACUACAGUUAUUGCAGAGGAAGAACAUGAAAAAAAGGGAAGGGAAAAGAAAAGGAAAAAGUCUGAAAAGAAGAAAAAUUGCUCAGAGGAAGAGCACAGAAUUGAAGCUGUUGAGCUAUGAUCUCAUAGCCACCGAUAUUUCUCGCUAAGAAGACAGAGGAAGCAAUCCAUGGGAACUACUUAUCCACAGUUACACAAGAGGAGGGGAUAAUGAAGAAAGUUAAAAUCACUUACUGAUUAAACACGAUGAUAAUAACCAUUAAUGAACUCAAUACUCGGGAAAGGCUUCACAUUUCUGGGACUCAGCAUUAUCCAAAAUAUCUAUUAAGAGCCAUACACCAUUCUAGCUGCAAUUGAUUAUACAAAAAAAAAAAGACCAAAGUGGUUACAAUAAUAAAAUAGAACACAGAGAAAGAAGAAAACUACAUGUGUUACAAUUUGGUAAGAUAAACAAACAAACAAAAAAUUUAAUCACUUUUUUUGGUCCUGCGACACACAUGAUAAUUUUUGUCUUAAUUCUCCUAACAAAUGAUAAUGAAAAGCUAUAAGUAACUGUGUUAUUGCUUCCGUAUCUGAAAUAGGUGAAAGAGGGAAAAAACACUAUAUAUUUUUUCAGCUUUACAGAAGAAAUUUUGAAAGGUUUACAUUCAAUGGAAAUAUUAGCAUUGCCUCAGUAAGCUUUAAAACACAAAUGUCUACGUUUUCUGAAGCAAUAUGGUUUACAGAGACAUGAGUGUUUGUAAAUCUCUCGUCCCAAUACUAUGUAAAUCCUUAAUGUGUAAGCAUCCAGGAAAAUUUGUCAUUCUGUGUCCUUUAUUCAUCCUAAAAGUUGAAAGUUUUCUGUUAUUUAUAUUUUUUUUUUUUUAAUUUGAGAGAGAGGCUGGGUGCAGUG